rnacentral:rRNA from 1 species
GACGAACGCUGGCGGCGUGCUUAACACAUGCAAGUCGAACGGAAAGGCCUCUUCGGAGGUACUCGAGUGGCGAACGGGUGAGUAACACGUGGGUAAUCUGCCCUGCACUUCGGGAUAAGCCUGGGAAACUGGGUCUAAUACCGGAUAUGACCACGAGACGCAUGUCCUGUGGUGGAAAGCUUUUGCGGUGUGGGAUGGGCCCGCGGCCUAUCAGCUUGUUGGUGGGGUGACGGCCUACCAAGGCGACGACGGGUAGCCGGCCUGAGAGGGUGUCCGGCCACACUGGGACUGAGAUACGGCCCAGACUCCUACGGGAGGCAGCAGUGGGGAAUAUUGCACAAUGGGCGCAAGCCUGAUGCAGCGACGCCGCGUGGGGGAUGACGGCCUUCGGGUUGUAAACCUCUUUCAGCAGGGACGAAGCGCAAGUGACGGUACCUGCAGAAGAAGCACCGGCCAACUACG